CCCUUAGAUGUUCUGGGCUGCACGCGCGUUACAAUCGGGAGUACAACAAGAUUGCAAAUCCUAGUGGAUGAGUGGUUCUUCGAAAUUUUCUGAAGACUGGGAUAGUUGAUUGAAAUUAUUCAACUCGAACGAGGAAUUCCUUGUAAUUGUAAUUCAUUAUAUUGUAAUGAAUACGUCCCUGCCCUUUGUACACACCGCCCGUCGCUCCUACCGAUUGAACGAUCCGGUGAAUUAUUUGGAGUAGCUCUGGAAGUUGCAGAACUUCCUAUGUCACGAAAUUUUGUAAACCUUAUCGUUUAGAGGAAGGAAAAGUCGUAACA
rnacentral:rRNA from 1 species